AGGAGUGAGGAGGGAGUUGAGGAGUCUUUGGUUUCUUUUGCCAUAGUGAACAGGCAGUGGCUGAGGUUUGGUAAUGUGUUUGAAUUUCCUUUGCGCUCUACACAGCCACCUCUGUCAUCAUUAUAUCCGUUGCCCAAUCGAAUUCCUGUUCGCAGCGCCCUUCUGUGGACCUUGGCUGAAAGUCGAGUCCUGCCUUGUUUGACCAGCAUAACACCAGAAGACUGAUUCACUUAUUUAUUCUAUUUCCAACAGAGGGGGUGUCCUGCUCCGACUUAUGGAGGGCAGAAAAAUCCGGUAGGCAACGGUUACAUGAAGACGACGGCCCAUCCGUGUGCUAUACCGCAUACGUGGUGCGCCUGCUUACAUGCUUACAGGCUCGACUGUGUGACACCUGAGACUCGCCACAGGAGUAGAAGAGUCUACACCGCUUAUCUCCAGAGGAACGAGCUGGAGGUCUUCUGCGAGCAGGAGAACCCGCGGGCUCGACCCUGGAUGGCAGGAACAUAGAAAAAGAAAGGAGGUCAAUUCCAGAAUCUCACAGGAAGCACACGAACAAACUCCCUGGACCGGGAUACCGGGUAGUUUAACCGCUGGACUGACAGCUGCGACCAGGAAGACUGGAGUACUUCUGUCGGCUAGAGAUGACGGGAGAUGAGACCCAGCUGUGCCAGUGGAGGAAGACUGGGCAAGGAGCGGGACUCGGAGGAGGACACUACUGGGGACACAGAAACCCAACUUAAGCACAUGGCAAACCAAUAACAGACAGGGGAAUGACAUCCCACAUGAGGAGAGAUAAUCAGGCAAACAGAGGGUUAGACAUAAGUGUUCUCUGUUGGUGUCUGAUUUAUUUGAUACGCUGAUUGAUUUGGAUUCACUUUGCGGACUUGAGAUUGCUGGCUCUCCAGGACUAUUCCCAAAAUACCGUGACAACUAAACAAACUCAUCGAAAACAAGCCAUGAGAUUUAGCUGUAGGCCCUCAUCGUACCCAAGUCAGUUGACCUUGUAAUUGGAAGCUACUUUUUAAGCAACCAAGUCAAGUGGCGGUCUUAUACCCGACUACUAAAUAAUUAUAAUAACUAGUAGUAACGGUAACCAAGCAGAACAACAACAAAACAAACAGCAUAAAAUGUAAACUCUUGACAACCAUUACAGACAAUCUUGGCCAUCACUUUACGGAUAACUUGCACUGAUUUGGAGUCAGCCAGAGUUGCUUUUGAAUGAAUUUUGAUGUGUCCGCGUCUCAGUGAGCAGGGAUGCUAAUUAGCACUACUAAGUUUCCAAUUGCAAUCAACCUAUUGGGCACCCCUGGGGGGUAUUGCACAAUAGUAGAAUAAAGAAAUCCAGGAUAAAUGAAAAAAACGCAGCUUGACUUAGUGUGAUCCGCUCGUCACGGCUUAAAUCGGUUGCAGGUUUACCAAGCCGGGAUGAGAAGGUUAAGUCAAUCCAGGUGCACUUAGCUGGGAUAAGUGCGCGUCCACGGCUUUCUUAAGUAGACUGUUGAUCACAGAUUUAUUGAAAUAGAAAUAGACGCCACGCAGCAUAUUUUUUUUACCCCGCUUAUCAGCAACUGAUCAUGGAAAUAUAUGAGGAGGUGAAGCAUAUAAUAUGCAUAUAAAAACGGCAGCUGUAAUUAAACAGAGAAAAAAGCCUGGCAGACAAUCACGGACCAACUAAAUGUGACUAAAAAGGAUUUUAAAAUAUCUACUUACUAGGAAAGUUGUACACUCUUUAAUUGCUUUUAAUAUGGUUGUUUUAUGUGUUUAUGUGAUCAUGCUGGUUUUACUGUAAAGUGUCUUUGAGUAGCCUACCAUGUUAAACACUAUAUAAAUAAAAUGUAUUAUUAUUUAGCCUAUACUUUGCUUUAAAAGUGAGCAGAGGAAUUUAAAGUUCCUCUGGAAAUUGAGGUAAAAAAAGUUUGGGGGCCACUGAUCUAAACAACUGCAAUCGUGACAAGUAUAGUGACAAGUAAUGCAUGUUAAUAUAAGUAAAUAAUAAAAAACACAUUAAGAAGACAACGGAAUAUUAAACACCCGUUUGUUUCGCAUCAGAGCGGGAGCUGAUUUUACACAUGAGACUCCAGGAUUAAUCUUAGGCUAGCUCUAGCCUCGAAUAAAUCACCAUGGUUACUUGGUUGAUUAAUUCAACCUGCUUUUGUCCAACCAAGUCAGAGGUAAAUUCAUAUUCAUAACCUGAAUAUCCUGGCUUAAUCCCUUAUCCUGGUUUCACGCAAUACCCAACAGGUCUGAAGAAUCCCAGAGUUUCCACUCCAAUUAGCAAUCAGGCUAGGUCAUACCACAUUAAAGGCUGAUUUAUGUUUGAUAGCUUUGAAUUACUCACCUUUCAUAAUCUUUCAGACACACAACAACACCAUUGCAUGUAGUCUGAAAUGUCCUUUUGAAUGUUAUAAUUCCAACAUUCUUUGUACUGGCACAAAAUACAGACUAUGCACUGGCUUUCACCAAGUUUUGUCAAACUCUAUAAUACCGGACUGGCGUUUCUGGUCUGUAAACCAUCAUUAGAAAGAAACAUAUCAACAAGAACAUAUCAGUCAAAUAUGAGUGGCAUUCUUAUGUCAUACCCAUAAAAAACAAACAUGCAAAACUGUGCAUUGGUAUCAAUGUUAAAAAGUAGAAAAAACUGUAAAGAUAUGAGUAUCUACUUGUAUUAAAAGAAGUUAUGAAAAUACAGAAUAUAUUCAUAGAAUACACUCAUGAUAACUUAUCAGGCCUUGUUAAAUACAACUAGAGUCCAAGCUUGGCCUGUCUAAAAUGCAACUGAAGAGACUGAAGCUGAGCUGCGGCGUGUACGUGCAUAAAGUGUCACUGGAACAUCCCGAGGGCUCUCCAAAGUGUUUAUACCACACACAUAAUUCAUAUUUGUUUACCCACUUAUGUGCUUGGAGUGGGAAUUGAUGAUCACUCAAAACAGUAUUAGCACGUCAAAUAUUGUACCAAAUUUUACAGGACCACUCUGGGACUCAGUUUGCAGAGCAAAACAAAGAGUCCCUAUUGAUUGUUCUCAUGUUUGACCAAACAGCUGCUCUGCACCGGUGUCAAUCAGUGUAUUAUUGUAAACAUAUCUCUUCAACACGUUUGCCAGGUAAAUAGCAAGUUCUCCUGAGCGCUUCACAUUUAGCCUUGUUUAAAUAGCCUUCGUCCCUUGAUCUUUCUUUUCAGUUUAACGAUGACAGCAAAUGUUUGAGGGUAUUUGAUUAUGUAAAUUCACUUUUUGUAUGAUCUGUACACACAUCAGCUCAAGUGAAGUUAAGUAAUUUAAAGCUUAAAAGUGCAUUGUUCUGUUUUUUGUCAUUUGGGCCUCUUGGGGGCGGAGCUCAACGAUGCUUACAAAAAAAGCAUUGAUUUAUUAUAGCAUUUUUAAAAUGACAUUGUUAAUGUGCAUUUUUAUAUUUCCUGCACACAAGAGGUGCUUCUUAACAAAUGUUCCUCUUUAAACUCUGGUUUGCUGUUUACCAACCUGUGAGAAAAAUGUCUAAGUCUUUAGCUGCUAAUUGCUGCACUAUUUUAAUCAGCUUUCCUGGGACUGUGUCUGUGUGCUGUUUAUGAGACCUCUCGCUGAAACAAGUUGCUAUUGGAAGGAGAGCUUCGAAGCUCACGCAAAACAAAAAAGUAGCAGGUCAUUUAUCCCCAAAUAAUAAUGAGAAAGUUUAAGACAGUUGAAUUGGGUACAUUAUGAUUUUUCUUUCUGCUGUGAAGGUCCUCUGUCAUGCCUCGCUCGCCCAGUAACUUACUGGGCCAGACAGGGAAAUGAAAAAAAAUGCAUUUACUUUGGCUGACACCAAUGUCUUACGGUAGAAGUUGAGUUUGAAACAGUUAAGAAUGCACGCUGCAGUGCAUUGCACGAGUAAAGGAAGGUUGCACAUAAAGACACUGCUUGGGGGAGUUGGAUUGAUGUUGCGGUCUAAAGACACAUGACCUCCACCCAGGAGACCACUGGGUUACUUAGUGUUACUGCAGCUCUUACAGAACUAAGCCUGUGUAAAUAUUUUUCGUAGCUUUGUUGCAUAAACCUGAGUGAAAUCAUUGGCC